rnacentral:rRNA from 1 species
AGUGAACGCUGGCGGUAGGCCUAACACUUGCAAGUCGAACGGCAGCACAGGAGAGCUUGCUCUCUGGGUGGCGAGUGGCGGACGGGUGAGGAAUACAUCGGAAUCUACUCUGUCGUGGGGGAUAACGUAGGGAAACUUACGCUAAUACCGCAUACGACCUACGGGUGAAAGCAGGGGACCUUCGGGCCUUGCGCGAUUGAAUGAGCCGAUGUCGGAUUAGCUAGUUGGCGGGGUAAAGGCCCACCAAGGCGACGAUCCGUAGCUGGUCUGAGAGGAUGAGCAGCCAAACUGGAACUGAGACACGGUCCAUACUCCUACGGGAGGCACCAGUGGGGAAUAUUGGACAAUGGGCGCAAGCCUGAUCCAGCCAUACCGCGUUGGUGAAGAAGGCCUUCGGGUUGUAAAGCCCUUUUGUUGGGAAAGAAAUCCAGCUGGCUAAUACCCGGUUGGGAUGACGGUACCCAAAGAAUAAGCACCGGCUAACUUCGUGCCAGCCGCCGCCGUAA